rnacentral:rRNA from 1 species
UACGUAGGGGGCAAGCGUUGUCCGGAAUCAUUGGGCGUAAAGCGCGUGUAGGCGGCCCGGUAAGUCCGCUGUGAAAGUCGGGGGCUCAACCCUCGAAUGCCGGUGGAUACUGUCGGGCUAGAGUGCGGGAGAGGCGAGUGGAAUUCCUGGUGUAGCGGUGAAAUGACGCAGAUAUCAGGAGGAACACCAAUUGCGAAGGCAGCUCGCUGGAACGUAACUGACGCUGAGACGCGAAAGCGUGGGGAGCGAACAGG